UACGUAGGGUGCAAGCGUUAAUCGGAAUUGCUGGGCGUAAAGCGUGCGCAGGCGGUUUUGUAAGUUUGUCGUGAAAUCCCCGGGCUCAACCUGGGAAUGGCGAUGAAGACUGCGAGGCUAGAAUCUGGCAGAGGGGGGUAGAAUUCCACGUGUAGCAGUGAAAUGCGUAGAGAUGUGGAGGAACACCGAUGGCGAAGGCAGCCCCCUGGGUCAAGAUUGACGCUCAUGCACGAAAGCGUGGGGAGCAAACAGG
rnacentral:rRNA from 1 species